UAUUUAAAUGGCCGCGGUAUUUUGACCGUGCAAAGGUAGCAUAAUCAUUAGUUUAUUAAAUGUAAACUUGUAUGAAUGGUUGGACGAAACGUAGACUGUCUCAUAUUUAUUAAUAUAAUUUAAAUUUUGAGUUAAAAUGCUUAAAUUUUUUUAUAGGACGAGAAGACCCUAUAGAUCUUUAUUUUUACUUAUUUUAAUUUGUUUUGUAUUUUUGUUAUUAAAUUAAUUUAUUUAUUUUGUUGGGGUGACAUUUAUAUAAAAUUAACUAUAUUUAAUUUUUUUUCAAUUAUUUUUGUAAAUUUGACCUUUUAUUAUUGUUAUAAGAUUUAGAUACCUUAGGGAUAACAGCGUAAUUCUUUUUGAGAGUUCAUAUCGACAAAGGAGAUUGCGACCUCGAUGUUGGAUUAAGAAUAUAUUUAGGUGUAGGUGCUUGAUUAUUAAGUCUGUUCGACUUUUAAAUUCUUACAUGAUCUGAGU
rnacentral:rRNA from 1 species